UGGUGGAUUUCUUUGAAUUCACAUUGCCU
rnacentral:piRNA from 1 species